UGCAUACUUAGGCCCCACCUCCUUGCUCUAAGGUUCCAUGUUGUUGAAAUUGGACUCACAGCUGGAGGGUUGGAUGGCUUCCUGAUGUCCUCCACCCAGCUUGGCUUGGGGACACAAAGCAGGAGACUGGGGUAGAGUGGCCCUGUAACAGUGAACAGCAGCACCAGGAUCUUGGGACUCUUGAGAACAGCAAAUCCUCACCUAUGCUUUAUGGGACUUAAUUUGGAGGAAACACAGCUGGGUGCAUGGAGAUACUGGAGGCAGGAGGACCGUUGGGGAGAGAGCUGGCAUUACAAGCAUGUACACCUGGCUUCACGUGGUUCUGGGAACUUAACCUAUGAUUUGGUGCAAGCUAAUCCAGCACUCCCCAACAGGGACCAGAAACCAAUCUCCAGAUGAAACAAAGGUGCAUCUCUCCAGCUCUAAGGUUGAGAAACCACUGGCCUAAAUCCAAAUGAGGUACAGACACUUUCAUGGCAACCAGCUGGCAUGGGCAUGGCCCUUUCCUUCUUGAAGGGAGAUCUGAGCUGUGCAUUACCAUGGUUACCGCUUCUAUUGAAGUCCAGGUCAAAUAGAAUCCUGUGUUUGCUCCAUAUGAUUGAUUCUAAGAGCUUAAAUAAAACUUGUAGACUCCC
rnacentral:lncRNA from 1 species